rnacentral:lncRNA from 1 species
GACAGAGUCUGAUGACAAUUCAGUCAGUUUUCAUCAAGGCCUAAAGAUGAGGAAACGGAGGUACAAAGAGAUUAAGAAAUUAACCAAUAUAAAUCAUAGAAAUCGCAAGUGGAAGAAUCAGGAUGUGAACUGUGGACCUUCAGCUCCAGUGCCUCCAUGGCUCUCGGCCAUUAUGCCAUUCAUCUCGGGAGGUGGAAACAGCAUCUGAAUCUGAAGUUUGUUUGCUGUGAGGUGUAAUAGACUCCUCUGCCUUUCUCUCUCUCCCUCUUUCCUUCCUUCCCCAUCAAUUACUUAUCUCUCUGUAACUGAAGCUCCUCGCCACUGAGACAGCUCCGCGGUGCUUCCUGUCCCUGCUUCCUUCACAUCCUCACUUUGACGUUUACAUAUCCACUGCCUCUCAGUUUUUACUGCUGCCUUUCUUGCCAAAUACAAA